CCUACGGGAGGCAGCAGUGAGGAAUAUUGGUCAAUGGACGAGAGUCUGAACCAGCCAAGCCGCGUGAAGGAUGACUGCCCUAUGGGUUGUAAACUUCUUUUAUAAAGGAAUAAAACGUGGCACGUGUGCCUUUUUGCAUGUACUUUAUGAAUAAGCAUCGGCUAACUCCGUGCCAGCAGCCGCGGUAAUACGGAGGAUCCGAGCGUUAUCCGGAUUUAUUGGGUUUAAAGGGAGCGUAGAUGGGUUGUUAAGUCAGUUGUGAAGGUUUGCGGCUCAACCGUGAAAUUGCAAUUGAUACUGGCAGGCUUGAGUUCAGUCGAGGUAGGCGGAAUGCGUGGUGUAGCGGUGAAAUGCUUAGAUAUCACGAAGAACCCCGAUUGCGAAGGCAGCUGACUAGACUGUGACUGACAUUGAGGCUCGAAAGUGUGGGUAUCAAACAGGAUUAGAUACCCCAGUAGUC
rnacentral:rRNA from 1 species